GGAGAGUACAGCUCAGUGGUAGAGCACAUGCUUAACAUGCAUGAACUGUUGGGUUCAAUCCCCAGUACCUCCA
rnacentral:tRNA from 1 species